rnacentral:rRNA from 1 species
GGCGGACGGGUGAGUAACGCGUGAGCAAUCUGCCUUUCAGAGGGGGACAACAGUUGGAAACGACUGCUAAUACCGCAUAAUGUACCGGUGCGGCAUCGCACUGAUACCAAAGAUUAUAUCGCUGAGAGAUGAGCUCGCGUCCAAUUAGCUAGAUGGUGAGGUAACGGCUCACCAUGGCGACGAUUGGUAGCCGGACUGAGAGGUUGAACGGCCACAUUGGGACUGAGACACGGCCCAGACUCCUACGGGAGGCAGCAGUGGGGGAUAUUGCGCAAUGGGGGCAACCCUGACGCAGCAACGCCGCGUGAAGGAAGAAGGUCUUCGGAUUGUAAACUUUUGUCUUGUGGGACGAAACGAAUGACGGUACCACAGGAGGAAGCCACGGCUAACUACGUGCCA